GACGAACGCUGGCGGCGUGCUUAACACAUGCAAGUCGAACGGAAAGGCCCUGCUUUUGUGGGGUGCUCGAGUGGCGAACGGGUGAGUAACACGUGAGUAACCUGCCCUUGACUUUGGGAUAACUUCAGGAAACUGGGGCUAAUACCGGAUAGGAGCUCCUGCUGCAUGGUGGGGGUUGGAAAGUUUCGGCGGUUAGGGAUGGACUCGCGGCUUAUCAGCUUGUUGGUGGGGUAGUGGCUUACCAAGGCUUUGACGGGUAGCCGGCCUGAGAGGGUGACCCGCCACAUUGGGACUGAGAUACGGCCCAGACUCCUACGGGAGGCAGCAGUGGGGAAUAUUGCACAAUGGGCGGAAGCCUGAUGCAGCAACGCCGCGUGCGGGAUGAAGGCCUUCGGGUUGUAAACCGCUUUCGCCUGUGACGAAGCGUGAGUGACGGUAAUGGGUAAAGAAGCACCGGCUAACUACGUG
rnacentral:rRNA from 1 species